rnacentral:rRNA from 1 species
UCAAGUGAUUAUGGCAAAGAGGUCACACCCGUUCCCAUCCCGAACACGGAAGUUAAGCUCUUUAGCGCCGAUGGUAGUUGGGGGCUUCCCCCUGUGAGAGUAGGACAUCGCUUGGU